rnacentral:rRNA from 1 species
UACGAAGGGGGCUAGCGUUGUUCGGAAUUACUGGGCGUAAAGCGCGCGCAGGCGGUCUUCCAAGUCAGUGGUGAAAGCCCGGAGCUCAACUCCGGAACUGCCAUUGAAACUGUUAGACUUGAGUAUGAGAGAGGUGAGUGGAAUUCCCAGUGUAGAGGUGAAAUUCGUAGAUAUUGGGAAGAACACCGGUGGCGAAGGCGGCUCACUGGCUCAUUACUGACGCUCAGGCGCGACAGCGUGGGGAUCAAACAGGAUUAGAAACCCUAGUAGUCC